AGGUCGAAUAGCCAAGUCAGGUUUAAGGCAGUAGUUUGCUAAACUAUCAGUUAAUUUUUUAACUCGUGGGUUCAAAUCCCACUUCGACUUA
rnacentral:tRNA from 1 species